AAGUUUCAACAACUGAUCUCUUGGCUCUCUCAUCGAUGAACAACGCAACAAAAUGCGAUAAGUGAUGUGAAUUGAAUAAUUCAAUGAAUCAUCUAAUCUUUGAACGCACCUUGCCCUCCUUGGUCUUCCUUGGAGCAUGCCUGUUUGAGUAUCAU
rnacentral:rRNA from 1 species